ACAGCAAGAGUUAUGUUACAAGGAUAGCAUAGACAGCCCUGCCUAUUGCAAGAGUAAUGCAUCAGGUGUGAAACAGAUCUUUAAUGCUGUGUGAAGCAGGCUCUUUUAAGGUCCAAUUAGUAUGGUGUCACCAAUAUAUGGAUCCAUGCGAUUGAUUAUCUGUGGAGUGUCCGGAUGGUCCAGGACCCUUCAGAUUAUAUUACGAUGGAGAACAGGAAAAUUAACCAAAACCUGGGCAAGACUGCGAAUGUGUGCUACUAUCCAUCCCAGGUGAAUGUGAACUUCUUUGGAUUCCCUUUAUUGAUGGGGAAUUAGGAGAACGCUUAUAUGCUACUGCUCUUCAGAGAACAAUUGAAACACCUAUUCAAGUUAGAGACCUACGUACCCUGCAAACCGACUGCUCCAUUCCCAGUUCUGGAGGCCGGAGUUGGAAAUCAGUUUCACUGGGCACACAUGGAGGUGUUUGAAGGGCUGCCCGUGCCAGAGGCUCUCAGGGAGAAUCCCUUCCUUGUCUGUUCCAGCUCUACCUCCUCCUCUGCUGUGGACAGUAUCUGGAAGGUACACCAGGAACUGCUGAGGAGUGGAACUAGGACUCUGAGACAAAAGGGGUUUGCUUUUCAUUUUAAACUGUAUUAUUAUUUGAAUUUUUUAAAAAUCAAGGACUGUUCAGGUGCAAUGGCUCAUGCCUGUAAUCUUAGCACUUUGGGAGGCUGAGGUGGGUGGAUCACUUGAGCCCAGGAGUUUGAGACCAGCCUGGACAACAUGGUAAGACCCUGUCUCUACAAGACAAAAAAAAAAAAAAAUGCCGAGCGUGAUGGUGUGUACGUGUGGUCACAUUUACUCAAGAGGCUGAGAUGGGAGGAUCACUUGAGCCCAGGAGGUUGAGGCUACAGUGAACUGGGAUUGUGCCACUGCACUCCAGCCUGGAUGAGAGAGUGAGACUCUGUCCUCCAAAAAGAAGUCAAGGACCAUGUGAUUUUCCUAAAUAGAGGGAGUAGGUUAUCACUACGUUACGGAAUAGGACAUUUAGCAAUGUUUAUUACUUACUGACUUAUAUUCAUGGCAGACCACAUCACAUUCUUUUUGAAUAUUCAUAUUGAGCCUGUUAUGAAGCAUUUCACAUAGGAAAAGCAAUGUGUGAAUCAAUGAGGAAAUGAAACUAUGUAUUUAUUGACGGUAUUUGUGAGAUAUGCAAGUGUGCAGAGUCUUCUGAUAACCUCAGAAUGCUGAUACAUUUAGCAAACCUCAUUCUUAAAGUUGGCCAGAUAAUGACUUAUUUUGCUGAAGUCUCCAAAAAAGCUGAGUUGUGAAGCCUUUGAAAAAGUAUCAAUGAACUUUUUCUUUCAGGUGGGGCUGAGCUGUUGUUCUAGAAGAAAAAAGGAUGUCUUGUCCUGUGUGAACUGGAACAGCGCUUAGAAAUCGAGGAGCGUGGCCCUGGGAACAGAGGCUGUGUGCUGUUGUUUUUGCUUCCUCAUUAAUGAGCAUGGGCCUUCAGUGAGCUCCUUUCCCUUGCUGGCCUUCAUUUGUAAAAUGUUGGCUGACGGCUAAGGGUGUUUAUUCCUCUAAAAUCACCUAAUUAGAAGAGAAGAAAGGAAAAUACAAAACAAAAUUAAAUAUAAGCAGCAUGUUCCACAUUUUAGACUUACUUAGAUUCUUAUCUCUCUGCAAUAAUCCUAAUGCUAAUUCACUUUCUCAGAGGUGUCCAGCGCAGGAUGGGCUUAGAUCAUCCGUGGAAUUGCUUGUUCUAUAAGCUUUAGUUACUUUGAUGACUGGAAGUAUGUAAGUUCAGAGACAUGCAUUAAAUACAUGUUUCUGGUUUUCCCCAAAUGACCCAUGGACAGAUAGGUGCCUGUAUUUAUUUUGUGUCAAAUUUCAUCUUAUUCAUUUAGUUGGAGACAUAGUUAUCUGAUGGGUUCUCUGGGGUAAUCAUUUAGAACUCCUGAACUUUAGCAAGAAGCUGUAAGAAAGUCCAAGUUCUUUUUCUUAAAACUUCAAAUAAGGUUCCCCAGUGAGUCUGGGGAAGGCCAUGACAUUGUCAGAAAAGCUGUUCCGUAUCUGUGCCUCCGAGGUUCCUGCACGGCACUGCUGAAUGGCCAAUUUGCUGCGAAUACGCAUCGAUCGUCUGAUGCACGGCGCUCUGCACUGAGGACACCGUGAAGAUGAACCGUGGUUCAUUCCAGGGGUUAGCUGAGUUCUGAAACUGGAAAGUGAACGACCAUUUAUCAGUAGGUGAAACAGAACUGUGCUGGAACACAGCCAGCGGGAGUUCAAUUAGGCAGAAACAAAUCGGGGGGAAAGGAAGGGAUGGCGUUCUGCAUGGGGCUCAGGCACCAUCUCCUUAGAAACGGCUGCUGCAAAGCCGCCGCAAUAAAUGCUCUGCUGAGUCUGUCCACAGCCCCACCCGGUAGAGAGGCCACUAAGGGACAAAGCCAGGAAACUCUGGCAGCUUUCUCUGCCACAGAAAGUGAACUGGUAGCAGCAAAGCUGGUUUAAAUACAUCUUAGAACAGAAAUAGGGAAGCUAGCUUCUUGGGGAGCUGUUCUGUGUUCUUGGCUUGUUUGUGUGUUUGGCAAGAAAUACAAUGGAAAAAGCCUCUCCUAUCAAACACAAAGGAUGCUUUCAUUAAGUCAUCCUUCCUUUUCAUUGGAUCAAAUGGUUUUCAAAAAUGGGAUUUCUGAUUCAAUUAAAUGAUGUGGGGAAAACUUGGGAGCUUCCAAUUAAGCUUAUUUUCCUCUCCUUUAAAAUUCCCUCCCCCCAUUUUUCUGGAUGUUUUAUAAUGUAUCUACUAUAUUCAUACAAU
ensembl:lncRNA LINC02642 long intergenic non-protein coding RNA 2642